AUGAACAUACUGGUGAAAUCAGCAGAGAAGACGAUUAGAGGCCCAUGGAUGAGAGCAGGCAUACGUCAACCACCAGUGCGUGCAUUCAUGGAUGAUAUGACAAUCAGUACUAAAACUGCAAUUGAAGCAAGAUGGACACUCAAAGAAAUAGAAGAGCUUAUCAGUUGGGCUGGGAUGAAAAUCAAACCAUCAAAGUCUAGAAGUCUGGUGCUGAAGAAAGGAAGAGUGACAAACUACGACUUCCAGCUUGGACAGGAGAUAAUUCCAUCAGUCUCAGAGAAGCCAGUGAAAUGCCUGGGGAAGUAUUUUGAUGACACACUGAGGGACACCAAGAACACAACCAACACUGUAGAACAACUACAACAGUGGAUGGACGCAAUAGACAAAAUUGGACUGCCAGGAAAAUACAAAACCUGGAUAUACCAGCAUGGAGUACUCCCUCGGAUUUUGUGGCCUUUGCAGGUGUACGAUGUACCAAUGUCCCGGGUAGAGGCUAUGGAGCGCCUGACUACAAAAUUCCUUCGCCGAUGGCUAGCAAUACCACAGUGCUUUAGUAGCGUGGGACUCUACAGUGUAGGGACUAAACUACAAUUACCGCUAUCAUCUCUUGUCGAAGAAUACAAGGUUACCAAAGUGCGACAACAUCUAACACUUAGAGACAGUAAAGAUGGGAAGGUGCGCGGAGCCAGGGUGAAUCUAGAAGCAGGCAGGAAGUGGUCUGUUCAAGACACAGUCCGGGAAGCAGAGUUACGCCUGAAGCAAGCAUACAUUGUGGGAAAUUUAGCAGUCGGAAGACUGGGCCUGGGAACAAUUACAUCAACCAGAUGGAGAACAGCGGGCAAAGGAGUGCAAAGGAAGCUAGUGCAAAAGGAGGUCCGGGUGAUGGAGGAAGACUCAAGAAUGGUUAAAGCAGUAGGCAUGAAGAAACAAGGAAGCUGGGUGAAUUGGGAAGCAGUAAGGCAGAGGAAAGUGACCUGGAAUGACAUAUGGUCGAUGGAGCCAAACAGAUUGCAGUUUCUCCUAAGAUCAGUAUAUGAUGUGCUACCAAGUCCAACAGAUUUGGCAAUACUUUCGGUGCUUGCAGACUCUCUCAAAAAAGCCAGGAAGAGACCACCACCAAAGGACAAGCGGCUCAAGUUCAUCAACUUUGUAAGAGCAGGAGAGAGGGAGAAGAUAGGCAGCACUGGGGAGGGUAGAGGACUUCUUGGCACGGCAGGAGACUGGCAAAUGCGAGCUGACCUGAAAACCAGAAUGCAAUUCCCAACGGAAGUAGCAUCCACCAACAAGCGACCUGACAUAGUGAUCUGGUCUUUGGCAAGUAGGCAGGUCAUUAUAGUGGAGCUGACAGUUCCUUGGGAGGAGAGGAUGGAAGACGCAUAUGAGCGGAAAAUGGGAAAAUAUCAGGAGCUUGUGGCAGAUUGUCAGGAGAGAGGGUGGAGAGUAUGGUGUUUCCCAGUGGAGGUUGGCACGCGGGGCUUUGUUGGACAAACCUUGUUGCGAGCCCUGAGAGUCAUCGGAGUUAUUGGGUUUGAGAGAAGACAGCUCAUAGGGCGACUAAGCAGAGAGGCAGAAAUAGCAUCGCUAUGGUUGUGGAGAAGAAGAGAGGGACAGUGGGGAAGACAGUGAGAGACAACUGUGAAUGUAAGAUCAGUUCACAGGCGGAUAGCUGGAUGGUCCCGGGCUGGGAGCUGAUCACCCCAGUCGGCGCACCUCUGGAGGUUGUAGUGGAC
rnacentral:sRNA from 1 species